CUUUUUCGUCAGCAACAUGGGCGUGAUGGUGACAUGCGGGGGCAGGGAGGCUUGGAGGAGAGGUUUCCCUGUUCUCCAGCAGAAACUGGAAACGGAGGUCCUGAGAUGCGUCGUCCCAAGUCGCGCGGCUGGGAGAUGGCGGAGGUGGGAUUUGAACGCAGGACCCCUGAAUCAGGGACAGCGGGUGGAAGAGUUGGGCCGGGGUGCGGAAGGUGCUGCCUGGAUCGCCCUGUGACCCCGGGCUCCACUUCUCCUUUCUGCCCAGUGUAGUCAGCACACAGGAAGCUGGCUGGGGCCUCCCUUGCCCAUCCUGUCUGCAGCGGGUGGACACGGGGUCCUGGCGUCACCCACCACCACCCGGGGCCUCCCCCUUCCUGUCUUGUGCAAGACGAGGCGUCCCCUGCGUGGAAUGGGCAGGCGGCUUUGGCGGAUGGGUGGACGGUGCUGGUGAGACCUUGGGAAAAUUCCUUCACUCUCAGCUCUGGACCCGGGGCUCUGGUGGUACCUGCUCCUUCGGGAUGUUGUGAGGAAGAGGUCUUAGUUUGGACGCCACCCCUCAGAGCAGCCUUCUCUGAGCCCCCCUCCCUUGCCAGCAUAAGUAUUAUCCACCUCCUCGGGGCGCCUGGGUGGCUCAGUCGGUUGAGCAUCCAACUUCGGCUCAGGUCAUGAUCUCAUGGCAUGGCACCCGACACAAGAAGCUGCUCAAGAAAGACUUGCAGAGCGGCUGAACGAAUCAAUGAAUGAAUGAACAAAUGGAAGGCACUCAGCACCGUGCCCUGCCCAUACCAAGCACUCGGUACCCAACAUGGUGAAUGGUGUUAUUCUUGGCAGUGGUUUCCCUCCCAGCCCCGCUGAAUCCCGCUCUCACCAGCCCUGCGCUCCUGCUUCGUCUGCCCGGCCCAGCUCCCCGCUGCCGGCGCAGUCUCGUCCCUGGGUCAGAGCGACCUCUGGGGAGUCGCAGGGCUGUGGGGCGGGCUCCCUCAGGCUCUGCCUCUGGCCUCCUCUUACAUCCCCGGGGGGGGCAGAGGCUUCUGGGAAAUGGGCAGAGCGAGGCUUUGAAGCUCCCCUGGGUCAGACCCACCGAGCUCCUGGGCCUUCCUUCAACGUUGCCUGACGUGACCCUGUUGUUAGCAAAUGGGACAGUGAGACUAGAGAGGGGCGGCUGUGUGGGUGUGUGGCCUUCAGGGGCUCCUGAGGCGGUCAGAGCCGCUCCGCGAGGCCGGCUUCUCUGUCGCUCCCAGAGCAGGGCUGGGGCUCAGGCGCCUGUUCUCCAGAUGGCAAGAGCGGUUCUCGAUUCUCAUACAGGCUCCGGGACCAGGUUUGAAUCGCAUCCUCCCACUUCCUGGCCGUGUGAUCUGAGGCUUGUCCCUCGGUCCCUCUGAGUGACAGUUUCCUUGUCUGGAGAACGGCACGCUAAUGAUUCCCAGCUCACGGGGGUGUCGGGGGUGUUUGGGAGGACAGGACCAGCCAUCUGGCCGGCAUCUAGGGUCUUUGGCCCCUCCCCUGGGCCUCAGGUGUCCUGGCUCUCGAGCCCCCGGGGCCGUGGCCGCUCUGGGGCCUGGCCCUGUGCCUCACUGUUGGGGUAGCGACAGUCCCAGAGGCUGCUGCUGCUGCUUUAUUUUUUUCCCUUCCCUGACUUCUCCCCUCCUCAUCCUGGCCUCCUUUCUCCAGAACCAGCUUGUUUUUGUUUUCUGUUUUUACGGCUCCAUAAAUGAGUCACGAGCCUGAUUUGAUUUAAUUUCGUUGUAAUUGUUAUCUUUUCAAGCUUGUUUUUUUCCACUCAGUUACUCACGAGACCACAAAACCUAAACAGGACGGGGCCUUCCCCAGCUCACUGCCCAGCACCCCCCCGCCCCGGCAUGGCCUCCUAGUCCUCUGGGGCUCGGGGGGAGGGGGGGGGCAGGGUCAGCAGCUCCUGGAGAACGGAGGUGGGGCCCGUGGGCCUUCUGGGGGUAGGUGCUUAGUGUGCUAAGCAGAACUGGGUGUCCCGAGUCCCAGGUGGUAGCCCUCUUCUGUGUGCUGUGGGACCCUGGAAGGGUUGUUUAAGCUCUCUGGGCCCAGUUCCCCAGCAUCCUCUUUGGCUGGCUUUAGAACAGGGAGUCGGGGGUGCCUGGGUGGCUCGGCCGGUUAAGUGUCCCACUUCAACUCAGGUCAUGAUC